GGAAAAUUUAUCGAGCUUAAAUUGAGAUCGUUCAACAAGUUAUUUAUUUACGAUCUCGAUAAAUGUCAAGAUGCUCGAGAAAAUUUUCAGAAAUUUUCAUAAAGUGAAAUCCUCAAUUUAGGAGUUGGAUAAUAAGGUACACGUCACGACGAGUUCGUGGAAAUUUUCGAGGAAUUUUUCGGAUACCGGAGGUAAUUAUUACAAUAUUUCAAAGUUUUGACAUUUUGGAAAUCAUUUAAGAAAAUAGAAAAUGUCGUGGACCAAUCUGGGCCGUCUGUUGACUCCACCGCUUGAUCUCCACCGUUGGAUUUGAGUUGUUUGGACUAUAAAUCCCGUGGAAGGGACCAGAUUGCAUCAGAAACAUCGAGAGAGAUUGAGAGAGGUCGACCCAUUCUUGAGACUCGGCGACCCGAUCACGUGACCCGACCGGAGUGACGCCGUCCGGCCACCGAUCGACGACGCACGACCACCGAUGUCUUCCUCUCGUCAUCGCCGUCACGUCUGCGGUCUCGGACCGCCCAUGCACUCGGCGAGGAGGGAGAAUCGACGGUGAGAAGACUUGACUGCUCCGGUGAAUUUCUGCGAUUUCCGGCCUCCGUCUGGACCGCAUUCGGUAUGGAAAUUCCUCUUCUCGUCUUCCUCUAUCCGUCUGUGCAAUUAGUUUUUGAUUGGGAUUAAGUUUUGAUGGUUUCGCUCAAGUUUUAAUGAUGGGUGGUUUUGGGUGUUUUACGGGUUCUGUCGAAACCACCGUGCACGGCGGCUUUUUCUGGGCUCCUUGGUUUAAUUUCGACGUUGAUGAUGAACCUACAGCAGGAACUCGGGCUUGGUCAAUCUAAAUUUCAUCUAUUGAGAAGUGAGAUGCAAACCCGAGCGUGAUCGAAGAGUAGCAAGACUAUUAACCUGGAAACUAGAAUGCUUCCUGCAUGGAGUUUGUGUUCGCAGCAACUCAGACUUAAUCACCAUGAUUCAUGCAAUUGAGUAUGGAUGCAGGUACUGUGCACUGGUGACGGGACAAUGGCGGACGGAGCUGGGUGUGCAGAACAAGUUGGUAAACCCCCUUCUGGGCUUUAUCCUGAUUACUAUUUCUCGAACUUUGUGUCCUGAAACUUGUGUGAAACUAUUCUUGGGUCAAACCUAGCUAAAUUCUUAUUCCUUAAA